rnacentral:rRNA from 1 species
UGCGGAAGGAUCAUUAAUGAAACUUCAAAGUCGGCCAAAGGUUGUUGCUGGUGAUUAUUCACAUGUGCACGCCUUUGGUCGCAAAUCCACACACACCUGUGCAUCUAUGACUCGAGGUUGUAAUGACUGAGAGUAACUUUUAUACACUCUUGUAUGUAAUGGAAUGUCUUUUUGUGCUAUAAUGUACAAUAUAAACAACUUUCAACAACGGAUCUCUUGGCUCUCGCAUCGAUGAAGAACGCAGCGAAAUGCGAUAAGUAAUGUGAAUUGCAGAAUUCAGUGAAUCAUCGAAUCUUUGAACGCACCUUGCACCCUUUGGUAUUCCGAAGGGUACGCCCGUUUGAGUGUCAUUGUAAUCUCACUUCUACAACUUUAUUGUUGUUUGAAUGUGGACUUGGAUGUUGCCGUUUUAUCACGGCUCGUCUUAAAUGCCUGAGUGUACCCUGUUUUGCAGCGUAUCCAGUGUAAUAAACAUUUCACUAGAGUUGGUCGAAAGACCGCGUUGACUAUAUGGGCUCUAUGCUUCAAACCGUCUGCCAGGUGGACAAUUUCUUGACAAUUUGACCUCAAAUCGGGUGGGACUACCCGCUGAACUUAAGCAUAUCAAUAAGCGGAGGAAAAGAAACUAACAAGGAUUCCCCUAGUAACGGCGAGUGAAGAGGGAAAAGCUCAAAUUUUAAAUCUGGUGUCUUUGACUCCCGAGUUGUAAUCUAGAGAAGUGUUUUCCGUGUCGGACCGUGUACAAGUUCCCUGGAACGGGGCGUCAUAGAGGGUGAGAAUCCCGUAUAUGCCACGGACUACCGAUGCUCUGUGAUACACUCUCAACGAGUCGAGUUGUUUGGGAAUGCAGCUCAAAAUGGGUGGUAAAUUCCAUCUAAAGCUAAAUAUUGGCGAGAGACCGAUAGCGAACAAGUACCGUGAGGGAAAGAUGAAAAGCACUUUGGAAAGAGAGUGAAACAGUACGUGAAAUUGUUGAAAGGGAAGCGUUUGAAGUCAGUCGCAUCUGUUGGGGUUCAGCCUGGCUUUUGCCUGGUGUAUUUCCUUUCCGAUGGGUCAGCAUCAGUUUUGACCGAGGGAAAAAGACAUUUGGAAUGUGGCUGUCUUCGGGCAGUGUUAUAGCCUUGUGUUGUAUGUCUCGGUUGGGACUGAGGAUUGCAGCGCGCC